GUUAGUCAAGUUCAUCAAAUACUCUGCAUAAUUUGUAAAAUAAAUAAAUGUAUAUCUGCUUAUGCAUGUUUAGUACCCCUCAGUAAGUUAUCUACCAAACAUUUUUUUUUUGGUUAGUCUAUGUUGUACAUCUUUUAAUUUCUGAAUUUAUUGUCAAUUGUUGCUUCGGGGAUUGAUAUGUUAAUUUUGUUACUUAUCUUUUUGAGGCUACUGCUUUUUUCUUUAACGUGGCUUUUCUUUUUCUCAAGAUAUUUUGAUUUGAUUCCCUGUAUCUUACCAAUUAUGACAUACAUUAUGUUUUUAAGUUUUUUCAUUUGCUUUUCUUUUGACAGGAUAAAGUUGGUAAGUUCUGUCUUCUGUGAAACUGGGCAAAGCUAAAAAAACUGUGAUGAAUCAUGUUAAAGCUGUAAGGAAAUUUGGUGAUGUUGUUCUCAAAGAUUUGAAAUUAUAGGCAGAGGCACGAAGUUCACUAAAACUUCUGGUCACUGUGCAAGAAAAUCCAGAUGCCUCUCAAAAGCCAUUCACCUUCAUUUUCUAUCAUUUUGUCUUGGUACCCGCCCAAUUCCCAAGCCUCUCCUUUGUUGUGUUUAUUAUCUUUCUUAAUUUGAUGCGUACUUGCAUCUUUGUAAGUUUUUUUUUUUUUUUUUUUUUUACUUUUAAUUAUAUAAAUUAAGAUUUGUAUCAUAGGGCCGUAUCUGAGACAUAUGUAGCCGUAUCAUACAAAUUUUUAAAAGGCAUUUGUAAAGCAAACAUAGUUGGGAUAUACCCAACGUGCAGUAUUGUAUUGGAAAGGGAAGUGGUAUUAUAUUUGAA